UUCGCGAGGUUCCGUGCUCCUCUCCCGCUCCCUCUUCCCCAGCUCCCCGUAGCGCGGGCUCCGCUCCUCCCCCGGAGCCCCGCCCCCGACGCCUGGCGCUCCGCCCCGCCCUCGCUCGGCUCCCUGCCCCGCCCCGCCCGCCUUCCCCCGCUUGUCUUCCAGCGCCGCCUGCGCUCCGGAGCGCUGGCUCUGCUGGCGCUGAGAAAUGGACCAAUUUUGACAAGAUAUAGUGCUGCAGCGUGCCUGAUGGGAUAUAUUCAGUCAUGGCAUCCGAACUUUGUAAGACGAUCUCUGUGGCAAGGCUGGAAAAGCACAAGAAUUUGUUCUUAAAUUAUAGGAAUCUGCACCAUUUUCCAUUGGAGUUACUGAAAGAUGAGGGACUGCAGUACUUGGAGAGACUCUAUAUGAAAAGGAACUCCCUGACAUCCUUGCCAGAAAACCUUGCUCAGAAGCUUCCAAACCUUGUGGAACUAUACCUGCACUCAAAUAACAUAGUUGUGGUUCCAGAAGCCAUUGGGUCUCUCGUAAAACUCCAAUGUCUGGAUCUUAGUGACAAUGCCUUAGAAAUUGUUUGCCCAGAAAUUGGUCGUCUGAGAGCUUUACGUCAUCUUCGAUUAGCUAAUAACCAACUGCAAUUCCUACCUCCAGAGGUUGGCGAUUUGAAGGAGCUGCAGACACUAGACAUUUCUACCAAUCGUUUGCUAACUUUACCCGAGAGGCUUCACAUGUGCCUUUCUCUGCAGUACCUCACUGUGGACCGAAAUCGUCUAUGGUAUGUGCCGCGCCAUCUCUGCCAGCUGCCCAGCCUCAAUGAGCUCUCCAUGGCUGGAAACCGUCUUGCAUUUUUGCCACUUGAUUUAGGUCGAUCUCGAGAACUACAAUAUGUAUAUGUGGAUAACAACAUUCACCUGAAAGGCUUGCCAUCUUACCUAUACAAUAAAGUCAUCGGGUGCAGUGGCUGUGGUGCUCCCAUUCAAGUUUCCGAGGUGAAGCUGCUUUCCUUUUCAUCAGGGCAGCGAACCGUUUUCCUCCCAGCUGAGGUGAAGGCCAUAGGGACAGAGAAUGAUCACGUCCUCCCUCUGCAGGAAUUGGCCAUGAGAAGUCUGUAUCAUACCUACCACAGCUUGCUGAAAGAUUUGAACUUUCUGUCUCCAAUCUCAUUACCCAGAAGUCUCCUGGAGCUGCUGCACUGCCCUCUGGGGCACUGUCAUCGGUGUAGUGAGCCUAUGUUUACCAUCGUCUACCCCAAGCUCUUUCCCCUGAGAGAGACGCCAAUGGCAGGGCUGCACCAGUGCAGCAAGAAGAAACCAAGCUGUGCCUUCAACACUUUGCUUAGAAAUCUCCUCAGCCAAAUAUCCAAGUUAUCACUUACAAAUUCUGCUUUCCAUCCAACAGAACACAAUUCACUCAAGUCCUGUGCUACUUUAUAACAAGGAUCACCUUUCUUCCAGUUUCCAAUAAUACAUUCCUCAUUUGCAGUCUGAGAACUCGCCAGCAGCAUCUUUAACAUUUUUAUUUCUAGCAACAUUCUGUUCCUGACAAUGUAUUUUCUAAGACAUUAGAAACUUUAUAGCUCCUGCCUUUCUUUUGUGAGCCCUCACUAGAUUCUUUAUUUCUCCCAAUAAUCUCUUUUCUAUCACACACCUCAAAACUCUUCCAGCCUCUAUUCAUUACCCCAUGUCAAAGCCACUUCCACAUUUUUAGGUAUUUGUCACAGCAGCAUCCCACUUCCUGAUAGCAAAAUGUCUCACAUUGAAAGAGAGAGAAUGACUGAUUUUAAGAAAUUGGCUCACACAAUUGCAAAGGCUGGCAAGCUCAGAACUGUGGGGCAGACUGGCAGCCUGGACGUUGAGGAAGACAACUGUUAGUUUUGUGGCUUACUGCUGCUCCAACCAGUGUCUGCAGACUUUUGACCUGCUGAGUUGAUAAACACUCAAGAACCUCAGGAGCGCUGCCAGCUUGACACUGGGGAAUCCAGCCAGUCCAGCACACUCUUCCAUCCUAUCCUGUCCAAUGCGGGGGCACUGCAGAACUCUCUGGAAAUGUCAUGAUUGAGCUUCAGAGCUGAAAUGCCUUCACCCUUCCCCCAAGUUGGAAUAUAUCCUCCCCCACAUUAAGGACCCGUUUGUCUUCUGUGUUUUUCCUUUUUAUGUGAGUGUGUCUUUUACACAAACUGUUUAGAUUGAUGGGCCUCCCCAAAUCUAAUUUAAAGCAAGUUUCAGGUCCCUGGAGAACAGUGAUUUGAUAGUCUAGCCAGAUUCCCUUUUGAACACACAUACCUUCAGUGAUGCUUCCUCUCCUCUCCCUUGCUCUCCCCAGAGAGUUAUUUCCCCGAGGCCACAUUCUCCACAGUGUCUCCAGUGGAAACUUGGCAGUUUUUGAGGAGUUUCAGCAAACCCCAUGGCCUCAAUGGUCUUGAGUAGCAGGGUGGGGUGCCUGAGUUGGCGGCAAAGUGAGGCUCCCAUGGAGGCUCAGUGAGGAUCCCAGAGCACACACCCUCUGGAAAGUUCCAGCCUUGUUUAUAUGUUUUACAAUGUAGCAACAGACUUUUGUGAGGGAUUUUAAAAACAAAAAUGUAGGUUGUAAUGAAAUAUACUUCUUGUUUUUUAAAAGUGUUUGCAGAAAAAUGAUUUUUGAAGUUUUUGAAUUUCCUGAUAAGAUUUUUUUUAUAUGAGAAGAAUUUGAGGAAUAUUUGAAGCUUUACAAGAUCUGAUUUUUUUUCUUUCUCAAUAUAAACAGUUUCCAUACAACGAGAAAGGGGAAGAAAACACACAUUGAAAUAAGACUUCAGUGUUCCUUUUUGAUGGGUUUAUGAUUCAAUUUAUACUGACUUUGAAAUAUUUUUGUCACAUGUGAAAGACAGGCUUCACCUACUUCCACUACUAGUUUUUAACAGGAUGAUUCAAAGUACAGCCUGUGCACAUUUACCUAGUCACCUGAUGCAUGAUAUUGUCUUCAUGUUGACCCUCAUUUCUUGUAUACUUAGCAUACUGCCCAGAUGCAACUGAGAAAAUACAGGAAAAGCAGGUCCAAAUUCAGCCUUCGACUUCUGCAAAAGUCCAUAAACAGAAAGUCUGUGAGCCUCCACCCUGCCAGAAAGAACUGCUCUUCAUGAAGGAGUCACGUAUUUGCUCUUCCUUUCAAAGGAUGGCAUUUUAAUGUUGCUUUGCUGCCAGAUGUUCAUCUGGUUGCUGUGAAGUGAUUCUUUUUUUAAAAUGUUUUUUAAUGAUGUAAGUUUUCUAAAAGGCAGGGCUGAAUGGAGAACCAAGGAUUUGCUUGGUAGAAAAAUUAUUUUCCUAAAAUUUCAGACUUACCAAAAAUUUGGUUGAUGGAAUUUUUAUUAGCUGCCCUGACUUUAUAAUGCUACGCUCAAACAGUGCCAAAAAAUCCUACAUAGUUACUGACAAAUGUGUGAUCUUUUUACAGUCACACCACCUGCUGCCCGGAAAGCACACCAUCCACGUAGAAUGGAGAAGGCAGAAAGUUACCAUGUGUUCCCACUGUAUCUGCACUGUUCUUACUUCCUCUUGUCCCUUUUCAUAACUUGGUCUAUUCAGCCUUAACAUUUCAAAGGCUUAUAGUAAAAUAGGAACUGAAGAUCUGUAUCAAAAUGUAACACUUUCAUCCUUUGGAAUAAUUGAAGUUUUAACAUAACCUCUACAUGUAUAUAAGUUAGCCAGUGAAAAUGUGGCAUGAAACUUCACAAUUGUGCUUCAGGCCUAAGUGACUGCUACCUAUCAUUUAAGUGACAGUAAAUGUCUUGCUACAUUUUUCUAUUUCAUCCUCUACAAUCAUAUGUCAUGGAAUGGAGCUAUGAAAUAUGCUAACUUGGUAUUCAGGAUUCUCAUUGUGAUAAGGUAAUACAUUAGUUUUACCUUGUUUGAAAUUUUAUGAAGAUGCUUACAAUCCAAGCAUUCUUUCUCUACCUAUUAUGAACUACGGUGUGUUAAACAACAGCAGUGGGCUGGGCAGACAACCUUUGGGCAGUCUCAAACUUAAUCCUUGGGUACAGCACCUGAACUUAAUUGAUGAGAAGUGGAACUUAAAUGGUUUCCCUGGUGCUGUUCAUUAUGGAAAUUUUAUGCUUGAUUUAUCGAUGUCAUUCUUAAUCUUUUGAUACUAUAAAGGAGUGUUAUCAACUGGAGAAAA